rnacentral:rRNA from 1 species
AUUGAACGCUGGCGGCAUGCUUUACACAUGCAAGUCGAACGGCAGCGCGGGCUUCGGCCUGGCGGCGAGUGGCGAACGGGUGAGUAAUAUAUCGGAACGUACCCAAGAGUGGGGAUAACGUAGCGAAAGUUACGCUAAUACCGCAUACGAUCUAAGGAUGAAAGCAGGGGAUCGCAAGACCUUGUGCUCCUGGAGCGGCCGAUAUCUGAUUAGCUAGUUGGUGGGGUAAAGGCCCACCAAGGCAACGAUCAGUAGCUGGUCUGAGAGGACGACCAGCCACACUGGAACUGAGACACGGUCCAGACUCCUACGGGAGGCAGCAGUGGGGAAUUUUGGACAAUGGGGGCAACCCUGAUCCAGCAAUGCCGCGUGAGUGAAGAAGGCCUCGGUUGUAAG